rnacentral:rRNA from 1 species
AGUGAACGCUGGCGGUAGGCCUAACACAUGCAAGUCGAACGGCAGCACAGGAGAGCUUGCUCUCUGGGUGGCGAGUGGCGGACGGGUGAGGAAUACAUCGGAAUCUACUCUGUCGUGGGGGAUAACGUAGGGAAACUUACGCUAAUACCGCAUACGACCUACGGGUGAAAGCAGGGGACCUUCGGGCCUUGCGCGAUUGAAUGAGCCGAUGUCGGAUUAGCUAGUUGGCGGGGUAAAGGCCCACCAAGGCGACGAUCCGUAGCUGGUCUGAGAGGAGUAUCAGGCACACGGGAACUGAGACACGGUCCAGACUCCUACGGGAGGCAGCAGUGGGGAAUAUUGGACAAUGGGCGCAAGCCUGAUCCAGCCAUACCGCGUGGGUGAAGAAGGCCUUCGGGUUGUAAAGCCCUUUUGUUGGGAAAGAAAUCCAGCUGGCUAAUACCCGGUUGGGAUGACGGUACCCAAAGAAUAAGCACCGGCUAACUUCGUGCCAGCCGCCGCAGUAA